CCUACGGGUGGCAGCAGUGAGGAAUAUUGGUCAAUGGACGAGAGUCUGAACCAGCCAAGUAGCGUGAAGGAUGACUGCCCUAUGGGUUGUAAACUUCUUUUAUAUGGGAAUAAAAUGUUCCACGUGUGGGAUUUUGUAUGUACCAUAUGAAUAAGGAUCGGCUAACUCCGUGCCAGCAGCCGCGGUAAUACGGAGGAUCCGAGCGUUAUCCGGAUUUAUUGGGUUUAAAGGGAGCGUAGGUGGAUUGUUAAGUCAGUUGUGAAAGUUUGCGGCUCAACCGUAAAAUUGCAGUUGAAACUGGCAGUCUUGGGUACAGUAGAGGUGGGCGGAAUUCGUGGUGUAGCGGUGAAAUGCUUAGAUAUCACGAAGAACUCCGAUUGCGAAGGCAGUUCACUGGACUGCAACUGACACUGAGGCUCGAAAGUGUGGGUAUCAAACAGGAUUAGAUACCCUAGUAGUC
rnacentral:rRNA from 1 species